rnacentral:rRNA from 1 species
UACGGAGGGUGCGAGCGUUGUCCGGAAUCACUGGGCGUAAAGCGCACGUAGGCGGAUCGUUAAGUCGGGGGUGAAAUCCUGGAGCUCAACUCCAGAACUGCCUUCGAUACUGGCGAUCUAGAGUCCGGAAGAGGUGAGUGGAACUCCUAGUGUAGAGGUGGAAUUCGUAGAUAUUAGGAAGAACACCAGUGGCGAAGGCGGCUCACUGGUCCGGUACUGACGCUGAGGUGCGAAAGCGUGGGGAGCAAACAGG